rnacentral:rRNA from 1 species
GGAUGCGAUCAUACCAGCACUAAAGCACCGGAUCCCAUCAGAACUCCAAAGUUAAGCAUGCUUGGGCGAGAGUAGUACUAGGAUGGGUGACCUCCUGGGAAGUCCUCGUGUUGCAUUCC